ACGGGUGAGUAAUGUCUGGGAAACUGCCUGAUGGAGGGGGAUAACUACUGGAAACGGUAGCUAAUACCGCAUAACGUCGCAAGACCAAAGAGGGAGACCUUCGGGCCUCUUGCCAUCAGAUGUGCCCAGAUGGGAUUAGCUAGUAGGUGGGGUAACGGCUCACCUAGGCGACGAUCCCUAGCUGGUCUGAGAGGAUGACCAGCCACACUGGAACUGAGACACGGUCCAGACUCCUACGGGAGGCAGCAUG
rnacentral:rRNA from 1 species